CCUGACUAAACAUAGGAGGUCAGGCCUGCCCAGUGACAUUGUUCAACGGCCGCGGUAUCCUAACCGUGCGAAGGUAGCGUAAUCACUUGUUCUUUAAAUGAGGACUAGUAUGAACGGCUUCACGAGAGCUAUGCUGUCUCCUUUAUCCAAUCAGUAAAACUAAUCUCCCCGUGAAGAAGCGGGGAUACAAUUAUAAGACGAGAAGACCCUAUGGAGCUUUAAACUCUUUUAACACUUGAACUACGUAUAAAAUUUUCAGAAAGCUUCAUUAAACCAAUCAUUUUGUUUCAGGUUUUAGGUUGGGGUGACCACGGAGAAAAAAUUAACCUCCACGUGGAAAGAAACUAUCUUCUAAGCAAAAAGCUACACCUUUAUGCAUCAAUACAUUGACCUAAAUUGACCCAAUUGCUUGAUCAACGAAC
rnacentral:rRNA from 1 species